GGGGGCGACCGGUUUCGACGGGGAUACUAAAGUCAGCGGUGCAUGUCGAGCUCUCGGGGUCUCGUAAAUCCUCCGGGAAAAUGUAACUGCCAAUCAAGAACUGGCACUCGCAGCUUAAUUAACUGCGACGUUCCUCCACCUGAGGCCCGCGGGGGUGGUCGGAGCGCGAUACAGCGGGCUGGUCCAACGCUGGUGCUCAGCGGCUGAGGACGAGACAAUACUGGGCUAGUGGCCAGUCUAAGCCAGCCGGUGGGCGUGGGUGGCUGCGAAACUAAAACGAUCGGCUAAACAUGUAGAUCCGUUGUGCUGAAGGUCUUCGGACAGGGGUUCAACUCCCCUCGCCUCCACCA
rfam:Nitrospira sp. ST-bin5 508, whole genome shotgun sequence.